rnacentral:rRNA from 1 species
AAAUAGCCGCGGUAUUUUAACCGUGCUAAGGUAGCAUAAUAAUUUUCUUUUUAAUUUGGAGAUAGAAUGAAGGAGUGAACAAAGAGGUUUUGUGCCAUUUUCAAAAAGAUAAUUUUAUUUAAGGGUUAAAAAGCCCUUGGGUUUUAGAAAGACGAUAAGACCCUAUAAAACUUUACUAAUGUAAGUUAUUGGUUGUUUAAGUUAAUAGGCUUGGUAUUAGUUAAGCUGGGGCGGCUUGUUUCUUAAGACGAAAGGUUUGAUUACAUAUUGAAUGGAGUUGAUAAGCGUAUUUAUAUGCAAUAAAGAUUAAGUUACUUUAGGGAUAACAGAGUAAUACUCUUGAAGAGUCCUUAUCGAUAAGGGUGUUUGCUACCUCGAUGUUGAAUUGAGUUGUCUACUGCGAGCAGUUUUUUCAGGGUAGAGGCG